AAAUUGUGAUACAUAGUAUUGAGAGGUCUAUAAAUUAGGAUCUUUGGAGAGCAAUGACAUAAAGCAAAAAAACUUUCAUCACGCGUGUAAUACUAUUUAUAAUAUGGCAUUGCUUAAACUUAGUUUCAUUAUCACUAUUUUUAUCAUAGAAACCACCAUCUAUUGGCAAGUCGCAUAAAAAUCACAUAGCGAAGGCGCUUUGAAGGAUCAUAUUUUUGCUGACGUGACAUCCUCUUUGGCUCUCCAAUGGUGACAAUGCCGAGCUCGUCUUUCAUGGCUUUUUGUGAUAUAGAUUGUUCGUAUUGUAAGUGUGGUCAUGAAGAAUUGUUGAAAACUUCUUGGACUCAACAAAAUUCAGAAAUUGGGCAGCUGUGAUUACUUUGAUUGGUAUGAAGAACGACACUUUUCACAAGUCAAUCAGGUGAUUUCAGAUUUAUUGAAGAAAGUCAAGGCUUUUGAAGAGAAACAAAAUCAGGCAAAAAGAUACUAUAUUAUUGGUUUCAUUUCUACUAGUUUCAUGUUGUGGGGAAUAUGAACAUUGAAGCCUAAUUGUUGAAGUUUUCCUGGUGUCAUUUCUACUAAUGUGAUGUAAUAAAAUUAUUGUUUUCA